UGGGGUUUUUUUGUGAACCCUGAAGGCAUCUGUUUCCAUGUGACAAAUUACUUUCCAGCCAAUUGUGCUAUUGUAAACGUGAGCUACGAGUGACGUCCAUGAUUUUGCCUCAGAACUAUGAGCAUGAUUGGCUGAAUAAUUCGCUGUUCCUGCCCCACAAGACGUUCCAGUCGGUACUCAACAGUCGUCGAUCGACGAAAAUUCAAAGAAGAGGAAAGAAGGAAGAUUUGCUAAGGGAAAACGAAAAACCUUCGGGGAGGAGGAGGAGGCAAAAUAAGAUGGUGGAAAAACUUAAAAUUGACAGAUGACGUCAACGACCGCGGCCAUCUUUAAUAAUUUAGAAUAUGGUGGGCGUGUGCAGAAAAGGGUGGUCCUUACUCCUGUCGGAUGCUCUGGAUUUGGGGAAACUGAAGAUGAGCCACAGACUCAAUACAGGAAGA